rnacentral:rRNA from 1 species
AGAGUUUGAUCAUGGCUCAGGAUGAACGCUGGCGGCGUGCCUAAUACAUGCAAGUCGAACGGUCGACUUCGGUCGAUAGUGGCGAACGGGUGAGUAACGCGUUGGUGACCUGCCCCGGAGCGUGGGAUACCAGGCCGAAAGGCUUGCUAAUACCGCAUGAUCUCGUGGAGUUCAGAAGUUCACGAGGAAACGGAGAAAUCCGGCUCUGGGCGGGGCCUGCGACCCAUCAGCUAGUUGGUAAGGUAACGGCCUACCAAGGCGAUGACGGGUAGGGGACCUGAGAGGGUGGCCCCCCACAAUGGAACUGAAACACGGUCCAUACACCUACGGGUGGCAGCAGUAGGGGAUAUUGCUUAAUGGGCGCAAGCCUGAAGCAGCAACGCCGCGUGUGCGAUGAAGGCCUUCGGGUUGUAAAGCACUUUUGAUCGGGAAGAGGAAGGACGGUACCGGUCGAAUCAGCCUCGGCUAACUACGUGCCAGCCGCCGCGGUAAUAC